AUUGAACGCUGGCGGCAGGCCUAACACAUGCAAGUCGAGCGGAUGAAGGGAGCUUGCUCCUGGAUUCAGCGGCGGACGGGUGAGUAAUGCCUAGGAAUCUGCCUGGUAGUGGGGGAUAACGUCAGGAAACGGGCGCUAAUACCGCAUACGUCCUGAGGGAGAAAGUGGGGGAUCUUCGGACCUCACGCUAUCAGAUGAACCUAGGUCGGAUUAGCUAGUUGGUUGGGUAAAGGCCUACCAAGGCGACGAUCCGUAACUGGUCUGAGAGGAUGAUCAGUCACACGGGAACUGAGACACGGUCCAGACUCCUACGGGAGGCAGCAGAGGGGAAUAUUGGACAAUGGGCGAAAGCCUGAUCCAGCCAUGCCGGGUGUGUGAAGAAGGUCUUCGGAUUGUAAAGCACUUUAAGUUGGGAGGAAGGGCAGUAAGUUAAUACCUUGCUGUUUUGACGUUACCAACAGAAUAAGCACCGGCUAACUUCGUG
rnacentral:rRNA from 1 species